rnacentral:rRNA from 1 species
AGAGUUUGAUCCUGGCUCAGAAUCAACGCUGGCGGCGUGCCUAACACAUGCAAGUCGUACGAGAAAGUGGAGCAAUCCAUGAGUAAAGUGGCGACCGGGUGAGUAACACGUGACUACCUACCUUCUAGUGGGGGAUAACUCCGGGAAACCGGAGCUAAUACCGCAUAACAUCGCAAGAUCAAAGCAGCAAUGCGCUGGAAGAGGGGGUCGCGGCUGAUUAGCUUGUUGGCGGGGUAACGGCCCACCAAGGCAAAGAUCGGUAUCCGGCCUGAGAGGGCGCACGGACACACUGGAACUGAAACACGGUCCAGACUCCUACGGGAGGCAGCAGUGGGGAAUUUUGCGCAAUGGGGGAAACCCUGACGCAGCAACGCCGCGUGGAGGAUGAAGUCCCUUGGGACGUAAACUCCUUUCGACCAAGACGAUAAUGACGGUACUGGUGAAGAAAGCACCCGU